rnacentral:rRNA from 1 species
AAUCAUAUGUGAUUUCUUAGAUCGUUGCGUCCCUUCGGGAAUGUUUGGAUAACUGUGGCAAUUCUAGAGCUAAUACAUGCAAUCAAGCUCCAACCUUCGUGGGACGAGCGCUCUUAUUAGACCAAGGCCAACCUGCUGGGCAACUGGCAGUUAGCUGUGGUGACUCUGGAUAAACAUAGUUGAUCGCACGACUUUACGUCGGCGACGCUUCUUUCAAGCGUAUGCACUAUCAGCUGUCGACGGUAGGGUAGCGGCCUACCGUGGCAUCAACGGGUAACGGGGAAUCAGGAUCCGAUCCCGGAGAGUAAGCCUGAGAGACGGCUUACACAUCUAAGGAAGG